UGCCAGCCGCCGCGGUAACACGGGGGGCGCAAGCGUUAUUCGGAAUUAUUGGGCGUAAAGGGCGCGUAGGCGGUUUGGCAAGUCAAAGGUGAAAUCCCUCGGCUCAACCGAGGAACUGCCUUUGAUACUGCCAGACUUGAGGCCGGGAGGGGGUGGCGGAAUUCCAAGUGUAGCGGUGAAAUGCGUAGAUAUUUGGAGGAACACCUGUGGCGAAGGCGGUCUACCAGAACACGUCCGACUGGUGAGGGAUGAAAGCUGGGGGAGCAAACCGGAUUAGAUA
rnacentral:rRNA from 1 species